rnacentral:rRNA from 1 species
AGAAUCAACGCUGGCGGCGUGCCUAACACAUGCAAGUCGAACGAGAAAGUGGAGCAAUCCAUGAGUAAAGUGGCGACCGGGUGAGUAACACGUGACUAACCUACCCUUGAGUGGGGGAUAACCUAGGGAAACCUGGGCUAAUACUGCAUAACAUCUUUGGAUCGGAAGAACUGGAGAUCAAAGGAGCAAUUCGCUUAAGGAGGGGGUCGCGGCUGAUUAGCUAGUUGGCGGGGUAAUGGCCCACCAAGGCUUUGAUCGGUAGCCGGCCUGAGAGGGCGCACGGCCACACUGGAACUGAAACACGGUCCAGACUCCUACGGGAGGCAGCAGUGGGGAAUCUUGCACAAUGGGGGCAACCCUGAUGCAGCGACGCCGCGUGAGCGAUGAAGCCCUUCGGGGUGUAAAGCUCUUUCGGCAGGGAAGAUAAUGACGGUACCUGCAGAAGCAGCUGCGGCUAACUACGUGCCAGCAGCCGCGGUAAUACGUAGGCAGCGAGCGUUGUUCGGAGUUACUGGGCGUAAAGGGUGCGUAGGCGGUCCCUUAAGUUUGGUGUGAAAUCUCCCGGCUCAACUGGGAGGGUGCGCCGGAAACUGAGGGACUAGAGUGUGGGAGAGGAAAGUGGAAUUCCUGGUGUAGCGGUGAAAUGCGUAGAUAUCAGGAGGAACACCGGCGGUGUAAACGGCUUUCUGGACCAUAACUGACGCUGAGGCACGAAAGCGUGGGGAGCAAACAGGAUUAGAUACCCUGGUAGUCCACGCCGUAAACGUUGGGCACUGGGUGUGGGGCCCUAUCGACGGGUUCCGUGCCGCAGCUAACGCAUUAAGUGCCCCGCCUGGGGAGUACGGCCGCAAGGCUAAA